rnacentral:rRNA from 1 species
GUCCACGCUGUAAACGAUGGGUGCUAGUUGUCGGCAGGCAUGCCUGUCGGUGACGCAGCUAACGCAUUAAGCACCCCGCCUGGGGAGUACGGCCGCAAGGUUAAAACUCAAAGAAAUUGACGGGGGCCCGCACAAGCGGUGGAGCAUGUGGUUUAAUUCGAAGCAACGCGCAGAACCUUACCCACGUUUGACAUGUCCAGUUUGGUCGCCAGAGAUGGCUUCCUUCAGUUCGGCUGGCUGGAACACAGGUGCUGCAUGGCUGUCGU